AGAGUUGAUCAUGGCUCAGGAUGAACGCUGGCGGCGUGCCUAACACAUGCAAGUCGAGCGGAGAUAAGUUGAAGCCUAGCGAUCUUAUCUUAGCGGCGGAUGGGUGAGUAACACGUGGGUAACCUGCCCUGUACUGGGGAAUAACAGUUGGAAACGACUGUUAAUGCCGCACAUGCGCACGAAGCCGCAUGGCUUAGGGCGGAAAGAUUUAUCGGUACAGGAUGGGCCCGCGUCGGAUUAACUAGUUGGCGGGGUAACGGCCCACCAAGGUGAUGAUCCGUAGCCGACCUGAGAGGGUGACCGGCCACAUUGGGACUGAGACACGGCCCAAACUCCUACGGGAGGCAGCAGUGGGGGAUAUUGCACAAUGGGGGAAACCCUGAAUGCAGCGACGCCGCGUGAAGGAAGAAGUAUUUCGGUAUGUAAACUUCUAUCAGCGGGGAAGAAGAUGACGGUACCCGACUAAGAAGCCCCGGCUAACUACGUGCCAGCAGCAGC
rnacentral:rRNA from 1 species